GCGGCUUUGGGGUCCUGUUUUUCCCUAGCGCGGCUAUGAGCAAGCGGAACCAGGUGUCGUACGUGCGGCCAGCCGAGCCGGCGUUCCUGGCCCGCUUCAAGGAACGGAUCGGCUACGAGGAAGGGCCCACGGUAGAAACCAAGGUGAGCCCGGGCCAGUCCCGUUACCGCAGAAAUGCGGCCCGCUCCGCCAAUUCCAGCUUCUGGCUUGACUUGGAGGCCAGAUACUGAUGGGUCCCUCCUCGCACCCGCGCCCGGCCCCUAGUCCGAGUGUCCUCAGACCCCAGGCUGGUCAUCUUCAAACAAACUACUGCCUCUUUCGCCCAGGAAGCUAUUUGUCGUUUUCACAGUGCUGCUGUGUUUUUGAAAAUGACUUCACGCAGAGAAUCCAGCUUCAGCUCCCAGGUGAAGAUGGUGAUCACAGUGACAAAGAAGAUGAACAGCCCCAAGUGGUGGUUUUAAAAAAGGGAGACCUAUCAGUUGAAGAAGUCAUGAAAAUUAAAACAGAAAUAAAGGCUGCCAAAGCAGAUGAAGAACCAGCUUCAGCUGAUGGAAGAAUUAUGUAUCGAAAACCAGUCAAGCGUUCCUCAGAUGAAAAAUAUUCCGGUUUAAGAGCAAGCUCAAAAAAGAAGAAGACAAAUGAAGAAGAUGAAAUAAAUAAGCAGGAUUCAGUUAAAAAAAACUCACAAAAGCAAAUCAAAAAUAGUAGCCUCCUUUCUUUUGACAAUGAAGAUGAAAAUGAAUAAGUGUAAAUAAAUAUUUUGGACUUAGUCUUCUUUAAGAACAUACGGAGUAUUUUUUUAAAUAACAUCUUUUUUUCCUAUUAUAAUACAAGUUUAGGGACUUCCCUGGUUGUCCAGUGGUUAAGACCUCAUGCUUCCACUGCAGGGGGCACAGGUUCGAUCCCUGGUUGGGGAACUAAGAUUCCAUAUGUUGCACGGUAUGGCCAAAAAAUAAAAAUAAAACAUUAAAAGGAAAAAAAAAGAUAAUACACAUUCACUGGAGAAAAUUUAGAAAAUACAGAAAACAUUCAGUAAGAUAAAACAUAUCUAUCCAUCAAUACCCUUUUGACCUGAACUGCUAACUCUCUAGACAUUAACUACCACUAACAUUUUGUUAUUUCCUGUGUGUGGGAUGUGUGUGUAUGUAAAUUAUAUUUUUCUAAACAAAAUUGUGAUUGUAUUCUGUAUGUUCUCAGUCCUGCUUCUCACUUGACGUUGUAUCAUGAGCAUUUUUCUAGGUCAAUACAAUUCAAAAUCCUGACAAUAGCUACAGAGAAUGUUGUAAUUAAACAGAUCCUGUAUUUUAUCUUCCUCUUCAACAGAACCUCACUUUGGAUGAGGGAGAUGAUCAUGUGCCUAGUUACCAAUACUUCCCCAGCUUCUGCUAAGGGUAGCCAUGUGACAGCUCUGGCUGGUGGUUCUCAAAGUGUGGAUCCUUGACAAGCAGCAUCAGCACCCCUGGAAACCUAAAGAUGCAAAUUUGCAGGCCUUGCCUGAGAAUCAGAAAUUUCAGGUGUAGGGCCCAGCAUUCUCUGUAACAAGUCUGCCAGGUUGUUCUGAUGCUCACUCGAAUUUGAGAAAUACUGAUAAAGCCUAUUAUAAGGGAGAUAAAACAAAAAAUUUAAACAAGUAACAUGAAAGACUAUUUAAAAGAUCUUAAAUCUUGAAACUUAUCAUAUUGAUGAAGUCUUUACUGUAGGUGAUAUUUCUAACAAUGUUAAGUGUAAGUGUUACCAGCCAGGAAGCAUAUCUCAUGAUGAAAGCCCAAGACCAAGGUAGGGUGUCAGGUGACAUCUGCUAAGCAGCCUUAAGAAAAUUGCUUCACCUCUGUAAACUGCUUUCUAAGAACAGUGGGUCCUGUUAAUUGCAGAGAAAGGUGAAUGAGUUUGGGGCCAGAGAAGAGAGGCUAGUCCUUUUCCCUCACGAACUAUCCCCUUGCUUCUCAGAAGUGGACCAUAGGAGCAGGGCUAGACAAAUAGGCCAGUAAUGUAAUCCCAGGGCUGAGGCAGGAAUAGUAAAAGGACAAGCCUGGAACAUCUUGUGCCCAAAAGUAAGGCGGUCCUCAAAGAAUAAUGGGGGCAUGUCAAAAGGACACACCUGGAGGAGAAGGGCUAGGUCUUCCUUGCAGUAGAAUCCCAAUUAAUAAACGUAGGAGGAAUGAUGGAAAUAGAAAAAUCACCAUUUGGGGGACUUCCCUGGUGGCGCAGUGGUUAAGAAUCCGCCUGCCAAUUCAGGGGACACGGGUUCGAGCCCUGGUCCGGGAGGAUCCCACAUGCCGCGGAGCAACUAAGCCAGUGUGCCACAACUACUGAGCCUGCGCUCUAGAGCCCUCGAGCCACAACUACUGAAGCCCGCACACCUAGAGCCCGUGCUCCGCAACAAGAGAAGUCACUGCAAUGAGAAGCCCGUGCGCAGGAACAAAGACCCAACGCAGCCAAAAAUAAAAAUAAAAUAAAUUUUUUUAAAAAAGAAAAAGAAAAUCACCAUUUGGAAAAUUCCACAAUAAUAAGUUGCAGUGGUCUGAAUGGCAGCCUCCUAAGAGAGAGGUCCUAAUCCCUGGAACCUGUGAAUGUUACCUUACGUGGUAAAGUUUGCAGGUGUGAUUAAAUUAAGGCUCUCAGAGAAUCCUGGAUAAUCUGGGGAGGCUCUAAAAGCCAUCACACAUUUCCUUGUAAGAGAAAAGCAGACAGAGAUUAGACACAGACAAGACAAUGUGAAGAGAGGCAGAGAAUGCUCACAGCCACCAGAAGCUGGAAGAAACAAGAUUCUCCCCAAAAGUCUUCAGAGGGAGGGCAGACCUGCCAACACCCUGACUUCAGCCUAAUGAAACUGAUUUCAAACUUCUGGCUUCUAGAACUCUGAGAGCAUACAUUUCUGUUCUUUUAAGCCACCAAGUUUGUGAUAGUUUGUUACAGAGGCCAUAGUAAACAAAUACCUAAGUGGUGUUGGAAAGAUUCAUCAAAAGAUGUCAAAAUUAGUGGCCAGAAAUACGCUGAAAAAAUCACUAUUUGCAUAGUCUCAAAGUAUAUCUCCACCAGAGAUUACAAAAGGAAAACAAGUCAUUUACAGUGGAAAACCAGGCAGAUGCCACCUUAUCUAAAUGAUCAAAGUAACAUUACCAGUAAUAAGUCAUACUGACAUCAUGACCUCCUUACAUGACGCACUGAGAUGGGCACGUCACUUUCCAAAAGGGCCUUCCUGAUGCCCUUUUCAAGGAUAGGGCUCAAGUGCAGUACUAAAGAGGCCCAAGUCCUACAAGCUGACAAUGGCACAGGAAUGUCAAUACAGGCUCCAGGGCUUCUCUGUCAGUGUCACUGCAAAGAUGCCCAUUUAUACUUUCUUCUGAAGAAAUCCUUUAUCCUUGAGAUUAUAGGUUUCUUACCUCUGGUUUUUAUUUUAUGAAAUAAUGGUUAUAACAAAUAGCAGGUUAAUCUAAUGUGCUUACUUGUCAAAAUAAAAGGUCAUCAAAUCUAUAUCAGCGUCCAAAAAAUAUUUUGAAGUUUAUUGCUUAGGAAAGCCAAAUAUCAAGGCCAGCACUGUCUGAUAGAAUAUUCCACAAUAUGAUUCACUUUGUUAUACAGCAGAAACUAACACAACAAUGUAAAGCAAUUAUACUCCAAUAAGGAUGUUAAAAAGAAAAGAAUAUUCCACAAUAAUGGAAAUGUUUUACAGCUUUGCUGCCCCUAGCCACAU